CAGCCGCCGCGGUAAGACGAACCGUGCGAACGUUAUUCGGAAUUACUGGGCUUAAAGCGCGUGUAGGCGGAUCGCCACGUCGGUCGCUGAAAUCCCCCGGCUCAACCGGGGAACGGGCGCCGAUACGGGCGGUCUCGAGGGGGGUAGGGGGGACUGGAACUUCCGGUGGAGCGGUGAAAUGCGUUGAGAUCGGAAGGAACGCCCGUGGCGAAAGCGAGGCCCUGGACCCUUUCUGACGCUGAGACGCGAAAGCCAGGGGAGCGAACGGGAUUAGAUACCCGCGUAGUCCCUGUCUCUUAUA
rnacentral:rRNA from 1 species